rnacentral:lncRNA from 1 species
ACCAGCUUUAUCAGGCUUAACCACUAUCCACCUUGCCCUGCUCCUGACCUAGCUCUAGGCGUUGGCCGACACAAGGAUGCUGGUGCCCUGACCAUUCUUUCUCAAGAUGAUGUAGGAGGAUUGGAAGUGAAGCGAAAAUCAGAUGGAGAGUGGAUCCGCGUCAGGCCUACCCCAGAUGCUUUUAUCAUUAAUGUUGGUGACAUUAUUCAGGUAUAGUUUUGAAACUCAAAUUAACAUGGCUAUCGACCUAGCACGGAUAUAGGACUCUAACCUGUUGGUUCCAUAUCUUUCCCUUGGAGGCCUAAUCUGAUGACUGUAAAUGGUUCUUUUAGAACUUGUGACCAAAUAUGUAUUCAGUAGUAAUAUGGAAAUCAGUUGUGGC